UUCGGGUUGUAAAGCACUUUCAGCGGGGAGGAAGGCGGUGAGGUUAAUAACCUCAUCGAUUGACGUUACCCGCAGAAGAAGCACCGGCUAACUCCGUGCCAGCAGCCGCGGUAAUACGGAGGGUGCAAGCGUUAAUCGGAAUUACUGGGCGUAAAGCGCACGCAGGCGGUCUGUCAAGUCGGAUGUGAAAUCCCCGGGCUCAACCUGGGAACUGCAUUCGAAACUGGCAGGCUAGAGUCUUGUAGAGGGGGGUAGAAUUCCAGGUGUAGCGGUGAAAUGCGUAGAGAUCUGGAGGAAUACCGGUG
rnacentral:rRNA from 1 species